CUUUCUGUUCGAACAAUUGUCGUGUUCUCAGUUUGGUUUAAUGAAUUACACCGACAAGCAUAUCUGUGUUGUAUUCAUAUUUAUCACUAAUUAAAGCUUGUGAAGGCGGGUCUAGUUUGAAUACUCUAUUAACAAGACGAUGGUACAAUUAACCUUUCUCCUCCAUAUAAAAACAAAACAAAGAAGAAAAAAAACAAGACGAUGGUAAAACUAGCGCCAGAUGAGUGAUUUUCUGUUCAGGUCGAUAUAGCACCGUAUGUCCGAAUCGGCCAGUACGUUGUUGACAUUGAUCCAGAUCCUCGGUUUAUUUGUAAUAUUCAACCAAUUUUAAUGAUUUAUAUAAACAGUCGUUCUAAACAGACCGCAUACUGGAACAAGAGCAAAUGUCAAAGAAAUUUGAUAUUCCUCGGAAAGGUGCGCUCACAGUCCAACUCUGCAACAAGUUAACAACAAUGUGCGAGUUGGAUUCAGCUUGACUCAGUGAAUUACCAAACUGGAUAAUCUCUAACCUACCCUCCCUAGUCGAGUCGGUUAAACUACCCUGAGUUAGUUUGGGUUAAAUUGGUCAGGUGUUUAACUAUUCUCAAAUUUCUGUUUCAGUCUCUGUGUCUGUCAUCUUCAUCUUCACUUUCUGUUUCACCAUGUUCAUCUUCAUAUAAAAGUUUGCAGAGUCAAAGACUGAUAAAUAUGAAUUCAUCAAAUUCAGAUGGUACUGGAAGGACGUCUGGUGGAGGGCCAUUUGUGAAAAUGAAUUCCAUGCCUAUCCUGAUUAAGGGGUUCCCCAAGCUGUGACUCCUCGCUCAGAAAGGUUGCAAGUCAAGAGGCAUAUGAAACGUUGGUGCAAUAGCAAAGCCAUACAAGUACCUGUGAUGUUGGAUUCUUGACAAAUAAGCAUGUAUUAGUUGAUCUUGACUACCCAAAUCAGAAUAUGUUUCAUCCAUUUCCUCCCAGCCUUGGACAUGCGUGUACCUGGGAGCAGUUGGAAGGGUAAAAUCUUUCAUUAGAGACGAUCUUUGGUAUGACACCUUCGCUGGAAAAAAACUAGGUAAUGUAGUUUUGACUUGUUGUGGAACUCCUUCAUGGAAUCUUACCAUGAAACUGUUGUGAUUUGUGCCGAUAUGUAUCUUGAGAUUUUAUAUCUCUUCGCAAUCAUGAAUCAACAGCCUUAUUAACAAGUGUGAAGGUUGGAAGAAGCUCCGAAUUAAUUACUGGUACAAUAACCGCCUACGCACUUGAGUAAAAUGACGAGAAAGUUUAUGGAGCUCCGCCAAAGACGGUUGAUGAAUGAAACAUGAUUUUGAUUGUUAAGAGACAAUGUUUCCGGUUAUAAACCCCUUUUGAAUGAGAUUUGUAUUAUAUUCAUCCAUUGAGAAUGUAAUUUUACAAUAAUAUACUCACUUGAAAUUAAAACAAUCUACCAUUUUUUUUUAA